AACGAACGCUGGCGGCAGGCUUAACACAUGCAAGUCGAACGCACCGCAAGGUGAGUGGCAGACGGGUGAGUAACACGUGGGGAUCUGCCCAAUGGUACGGAAUAGCUCCGGGAAACUGGAAUUAAUACCGUAUGAGCCCGCAAGGGGAAAGAUUUAUCGCCAUUGGAUGAACCCGCGUCGGAUUAGCUAGUUGGUGUGGUAAAGGCGCACCAAGGCGACGAUCCGUAGCUGGUCUGAGAGAAUGAUCAGCCACACUGGGACUGAGACACGGCCCAGACUCCUACGGGAGGCAGCAGUGGGGAAUAUUGGACAAUGGGCGCAAGCCUGAUCCAGCCAUGCCGCGUGAGUGAUGGAGGCCUUAGGGUUGUAAAGCUCUUUCGCCGACGAAGAUAAUGACGGUAGUCGGAGAAGAAGCCCCGGCUAACUUCGUGCCAGCCGCCGCCGUAAUAC
rnacentral:rRNA from 1 species